rnacentral:pre_miRNA from 1 species
CAGGGUUGGGGGCUCAGAAGGCAGUGCUCUGGGGCAUCUCAACCAUAGCCUGGGCUCUGCUCCUUGUCACCCUCCUCAGUCAGGGCACAGGUGA